rnacentral:rRNA from 1 species
GAUGAACGCUGGCGGCGUGCCUAAUACAUGCAAGUCGAGCGAACGGACGAGAAGCUUGCUUCUCUGAUGUUAGCGGCGGACGGGUGAGUAACACGUGGAUAACCUACCUAUAAGACUGGGAUAACUUCGGGAAACCGGAGCUAAUACCGGCUAAUAUUUUGAACCGCAUGGUUCAAAAGUGAAAGACGGUUUUGCUGUUACUUAUAGAUGGAUCCGCGCUGCAUUAGCUAGUUGGUAAGGUAACGGCUUACCAAGGCAACGAUGCAUAGCCGACCUGAGAGGGUGAUCAGCCACACUGGAACUGAGACACGGUCCAGACUCCUACGGGAGGCAGCAGUAGGGAAUCUUCCGCAAAGGGCGAAAGCCUGACGGAGCAACGCCGCGUGAGUGAUGAAGGUCUUCGGAUCGUAAAGCUCUGUUAUUAGGGAAGAAAAUAUGUGUAAGUAACUGUGCACAUCUUGACGGUACCUAAUCAGAAAGCCACGGCUAACUACGUG